AACGUAGGAGCCAAGCGUUAUCCGAAUUCACUGGGCGUAAAGCGCGUGCAGGCGGCUCGGUAAGUUGGAUGUGAAAGCUCCUGGCUCAACUGGGAGAGGACGUUCAAUACUGUCGGGCUAGAGGACGGUAGAGGGAGGUGGAAUUCCCGGUGUAGUGGUGAAAUGCGUAGAUAUCGGGAGGAACACCAGUGGCGAAGGCGGCCUCCUGGGCCGUUCCUGACGCUCAGACGCGAAAGCUAGGGGAGCGAACGGG
rnacentral:rRNA from 1 species